UUUUAUGGAGAGUUUGAUCCUGGCUCAGGAUGAACGCUGGCGGCGUGCCUAAUACAUGCAAGUCGAGCGAACGGACGAGAAGCUUGCUUCUCUGAUGUUAGCGGCGGACGGGUGAGUAACACGUGGAUAACCUACCUAUAAGACUGGGAUAACUUCGGGAAACCGGAGCUAAUACCGGAUAAUAUUUUGAACCGCAUGGUUCAAAAGUGAAAGACGGUCUUGCUGUCACUUAUAGAUGGAUCCGCGCUGCAUUAGCUAGUUGGUAAGGUAACGGCUUACCAAGGCAACGAUGCAUAGCCGACCUGAGAGGGUGAUCGGCCACACUGGAACUGAGACACGGUCCAGA
rnacentral:rRNA from 1 species